AACGCACGAGACCUGCGGACCUGCGGAGGGAUCAUUAAUGAGAAGCUGCCCCUCGUGGGUAGACCUCCCACCCUCUGUGAACUUACCUUUGUUGCUUUGGCAGGCCCGUCCUCUGGACCGCCGGCUUCGGCUGGCCCGUGCCUGCCAGAGGAUUCCAAACCCUGUCUGUCAGUGUUGCCUGAGUCUAUAUGAAAUCGUUAAAACUUUUAGCAAUGGAUCUCUAGAUCGGAAGAGCACACG
rnacentral:misc_RNA from 1 species